rfam:Lentinula edodes NBRC 111202 DNA, contig: scaffold189.
CCGACCAUAGCUCAGCUGGAAGAGCACAAGACUGUAACAGGGUAACUGAAUCUUGGGGUCGCCUGUUCGAGCCAGGCUGGUCGGA